GACGAACGCUGGCGGCGCGCUUAACACAUGCAAGUCGAACGGAAAGGCCCUGCGCUUGUCGGGUGCUCGAGUGGCGAACGGGUGAGUAACACGUGAGUAACCUGCCCUUGACUUUGGGAUAACUUCAGGAAACUGGGGCUAAUACCGGAUAGGAGCUCCCGCCGCAUGGUGGGGCUUGGAAAGCUUCGGCGGUCGGGGAUGGACUCGCGGCUUCUCAGCUUGUUGGUGGGGUAGUGGCUUACCAAGGCUUUGACGAGUAGCCGACCUGAGAGGCUGACCGGCCACGUUGGGGCUGGAGUACGCCCCCGCCUCGCACGGACGGCAGUGGUGGCGAGUAUUGCCCAAGGGGCGGCAGCCAGAGGCAGCAACGCCGCGUGCGGAGAGACGGCCUUCGGGUUGCAGACCCCUUUCGCAUACGCCGGGACGCGAGUGCCGGCAGUGGGUAAAGACUAACCGGCUACACUCGUG
rnacentral:rRNA from 1 species